UACGGAGGGUGCGAGCGUUAAUCGGAAUUACUGGGCGUAAAGCGCACGUAGGCGGUCUGGUAAGUCGGAUGUGAAAGCCCCGGGCUUAACCUGGGAAUUGCAUUCGAUACUGCCUGACUGGAGUAUGGGAGAGGGAAGCGGAAUUUCCGGUGUAGCGGUGAAAUGCGUAGAUAUCGGAAGGAACAUCAAUGGCGAAGGCAGCUUCCUGGCCCAAUACUGACGCUGAGGUGCGAAAGCGUGGGGAUCAAACAGGAUUAGAAACCCCCGUAGUCC
rnacentral:rRNA from 1 species